CAGUAGCCGCGGUAAUACGAAGGGGGCGAGCGUUGUUCGGAUUUACUGGGCGUAAAGGGCGCGCAGGCGGCAGAUCAAGUCAGAUGUGAAAGCCCCGGGCUUAACCUGGGAACUGCGCUUGUGACUGCACAGCUAGAGUAUGGCAGAGGGGGGUGGAAUUCCACGUGUAGCAGUGAAAUGCGUAGAGAUGUGGAGGAACACCGAUGGCGAAGGCAGCCCCCUGGGCCAAUACUGACGCUCAUGCACGAAAGCGUGGGGAGCAAACAGGAUUAGAUACCCCUGUAGUCCCUGUCUCUUAUAC
rnacentral:rRNA from 1 species